GGAUAUGAGGGCCCCUGGCUGCAACUUCUGUCACCCUGCUGAUUGCCAGGGUUGAUUAGGCUGAUCUGGCUGGCUAGGCGGGUGUCCUCUUCCUCCCUCCAUGCUCCACGUGCAUCCCUCCUGAAGCUGCAUGCUUGGUCGAAGAGGACGACCACCCCCAACAAAGGAGGACGGUUCCUCAGUCAAGGGUACAGGAGCUGCUGCGCUCCCCUGCUAGAACCUCCAAACAAUCUCUCAAAAAAAAUGGAAAGAUAUUCCAUGUUCUUGGAUAGGAAGAACCAACACUGCAAAAAUGGCCAUACUCCCAAAAUUGUUACACAGAUUU
rnacentral:snRNA from 1 species